rnacentral:rRNA from 1 species
CCUACGGGAGGCAGCAGUGGGGAAUAUUGCACAAUGGGCGAAAGCCUGAUGCAGCAACGCCGCGUGAAGGAAGACGGUUUUCGGAUUGUAAACUUCUGUUCUUAGUGAAGAAUAAUGACGGUAACUAAGGAUCCUGCCACGGCUAACUACGUGCCAGCAGCCGCGGUACUACGUAGGUGGCAAGCGUUGUCCGGAAUUACUGGGUGUAAAGGGAGCGUAGGCGGGAAGCCAAGUCAGCUGUGAAAAGUACGGGCUUAACCUGUAGAAUGCAGUUGAAACUGGCUGUCUUGAGUGAAGUAGAGGUGGGCGGAAUUCCGGGUGUAGCGGUGAAAUGCGUAGAUAUUCGGAGGAACACCGGUGGCGAAGGCGGCCAACUGGGCUGUAACUGACGCUGAGGCGCGAAAGUGUGGGGAGCAAACAGGAUUAGAUACCCGGGUAGUC